AUUGCUUCUCGGCCUUUUGGCUAAGAUCAAGUGUAGUAUCUGUUCUUAUCAGUUUAAUAUCUGAUACGUCCUCCAUCCGAGGACAAUAUAUUAAAUGGAUUUUUGGAACAGGGAGAUGGAAUAGGGGCUUGCUCCGUCCACUCCACGCAUCGACCUGGUAUUGCAGUACCUCCAGGACCGGUGCACAAAAA
rnacentral:snRNA from 1 species